UACGGAGGGUGCAAGCGUUAAUCGGAAUUACUGGGCGUAAAGGGUGCGUAGGUGGUUGAAUAAGUUAUGUGUGAAAUUCCUGGGCUCAACCUAGGCAGGUCAGAUAAUACUGUUCGACUCGAGUAUGGGAGAGGGUAGUGGAAUUUCCGGUGUAGCGGUGAAAUGCGUAGAGAUCGGAAGGAACACCGGUGGCGAAGGCGGCUACCUGGCCUAAUACUGACACUGAGGCACGAAAGCGUGGGGAGCAAACAGG
rnacentral:rRNA from 1 species